GAUGAACGCUAGCGGCAGGCCUAAUACAUGCAAGUCGAACGGUGUCUUCGGACAUAGUGGCGCACGGGUGCGUAACGCGUGGGAAUCUGCCCUUGGGUUCGGAAUAACAGUUAGAAAUGACUGCUAAUACCGGAUGAUGUCUUCGGACCAAAGAUUUAUCGCCCAAGGAUGAGCCCGCGUAGGAUUAGGUAGUUGGUGGGGUAAUGGCCCACCAAGCCGACGAUCCUUAGCUGGUCUGAGAGGAUGAUCAGCCACACUGGGACUGAGACACGGCCCAGACUCCUACGGGAGGCAGCAGUGGGGAAUAUUGGACAAUGGGCGAAAGCCUGAUCCAGCAAUGCCGCGUGAGUGAUGAAGGCCUUAGGGUUGUAAGGCUCUUUUACCAGGGAUGAUAAUGACAGUACCUGGAGAAUAAGCUCCGGCUAACUCCGUGCCAGCCGCCGCCGUAACAC
rnacentral:rRNA from 1 species